rnacentral:rRNA from 1 species
UACGUGAGGGGCAAACGUUGUUCGGUGUCACUGGGCUUAAAGGGUGCGUAGGUGGUUGCGUAAGUAACGUGUGAAAUCCCCCGGCUUACCCGGGGAAUUGCGCGUUAUACUGCGUAACUUGAGGACUGUAGGGGAAUGGGGAACUCCAGGUGUAGCGGUGAAAUGCGCAGAUAUCAGGAGGAACACCAGCGGCGAAGGCGGCGCUCUGGGCCGGAACUGACGCUGAGGAGCGAAAGCGUGGGUAGCAAACAGG